rnacentral:rRNA from 1 species
UGCCAGCCUCCGCUGUACUACUAAUUGGGCUAUCUUUUUUCGUAAUCACUGGGCGUAAAGCGCACGUAGGCGGAUUGUUAAGUCAGGGGUGAAAUCCCGGGGCUUAACCCCGGAACUGCCUCUAAAACUGGUAAGCUAGAGGAUGCGAGAGGAAAGUGGAAUUCCGAGUGUAGAGGUGAAAUUCGUAGAUAUUCGGAAGAACACCAGUGGCGAAGGCGACUUUCUGGCGCAUAUCUGACGCUGAGGUGCGAAAGCGUGGGGAGCAAACAGGAUUAGAUA